rnacentral:lncRNA from 1 species
UCCGGCGGGUUUCUCCUCUUCCGGCGGGUUAGAGGCUCGGGGGCGUAAGCCGGGGAGGGAGAGGAGGAGAUGGGGGUCCGAACUGAGGUGGAGAGGCGGCAGAUGGUGGCCAGACGGCGGCAGGAGCACGGCUGGAAAACCGGGCAGCGGGAGGGGCUCGGGAGAGAGAGAGAACCGGGAGGAGAAAAGAGAAGAAAAGAGAAAAUGGGUUUGGGCCUCACUCCCCAAACCGGUCCAAGCUUAUAACAACCCAAUUCCAAAAAUAAAACACCCCGAAAAAAUAAUACCCGAAUAAAAUUUACCUUUUACUAGCUAAAAUUUACCAUUUUUACCGUUGUCGAAUUUUCCUCCUACGAAUAAUCCUCCGCACAUAAUCGUCCCCGAAACCCCUCUAGGGACCACUUAAACUAUUAACUCAAUGAUCGAGACGGUAAAAUUCUUAUUAUAAUCACGCUAGUAAAUAAGGUAAAAAUAUAAGGGUCGGGAUGUGACACUCGAUCAUAUAUAGUUGCCUUUUUGGGCACAUAUAGCGUGUGCUAAUGAGACUUUAUAGACUUAGAGAUUAUGGUGAAUAUUUGUUUGGGAGAUUCUAUUUAUACCUCCUAAAACGCACUUGAACCUCUUUCUUUUUUAAAAUUACAGUUGAUUUUGUCAAUAAAGUCAACUCAAUAUGAAAUUACCAAUAAAGACACAUAAGCAUAAAAAAUUAAAAAAAGACCUCUAUUUUUACCUUCACGACAGUAAUCUUCAUCUCAGAAAAAAUUUUCAUCUCUAACAUAAACCCUAACUGACACGACCCACCCCGAAUUUCACCCUGAAACCCGGAGUAAGUCGUGCGGGGACCACCUCCAAGGAAAAUUUACUGAAAAGAUUAAGAAAAUCUCCCUUGCAGAUGGACAACCCUAACUCGAAAAAUUUCAUAUUACACUCUUAAUUCAACACUUCCGAACAUCACAUAAUUAUCCUUCAGAAAUUCUACACAUAAUAUACAAUAAUCCCAAAGUAUUCAGAGCUACUAAACACAAGCGGAAGCAAGAAAACACGAGUAGGUUGAACAGGUAACCUACUGGCGAAAACUGGCAGAAAUGCGGGUGACUAUGCCUCGCCUCCUACUAGAUCCAACCCGAACUCUGCAGACUGGGCAAUUUAAAACGAAGGACCCAGGGGAAAACAUUUAACAACGUUAGAGUGAGUAGGAACAAAAAUAAAAUAAUAA